rnacentral:rRNA from 1 species
GACGAACGCUGGCGGCGUGCCUAAUACAUGCCAGUUGAGCGCUGAAGGUUGGUACUUGUACCGACUGGAUGAGCAGCGAACGGGUGAGUAACGCGUGGGGAAUCUGCCUUUGAGCGGGGGACAACAUUUGGAAACGAAUGCUAAUACCGCAUAAAAACUUUAAACACAAGUUUUAAGUUUGAAAGAUGCAAUUGCAUCACUCAAAGAUGAUCCCGCGUUGUAUUAGCUAGUUGGUGAGGUAAAGGCUCACCAAGGCGAUGAUACAUAGCCGACCUGAGAGGGGGAUCGGCCACAUUGGGACUGAGACACGGCCCAAACUCCUACGGGAGGCAGCAGUAGGGAAUCUUCGGCAAUGGACGAAAGUCUGACCGAGCAACGCCGCGGGAGGGAAGAAGGGUUUCGGAUCGUAAAACUCCGUUGGUAGGGAAGAACGUUGGUGAGAGUGGAAAGCUCAUCAAGUGACGGUAACUACCCAGAAAGCGACGGCUAACUACGUG